rnacentral:misc_RNA from 1 species
UACGGAGGAUGCGAGCGUUAUCCGGAUUUAUUGGGUUUAAAGGGUGCGUAGGCGGAUUGUUAAGUCAGCGGUGAAAGUUCCCGGCUCAACCGGGUCAGUGCCGUUGAUACUGGCAGUCUUGAAUACGGUCAAGGCAGGCGGAAUGUGAUGUGUAGCGGUGAAAUGCAUAGAUAUGUCACAGAACUCCGAUAGCGAAGGCAGCUUGCCGGGCCUGUAUUGACGCUGAGGCACGAAAGCGUGGGGAUCAAACAGG